rnacentral:pre_miRNA from 1 species
AACAUACUCCUUCCGUCCAACAAAUGAUGUCUCGAGUUUGUCAAAAUUUGGAUGUAUGUAGACAUGACUUAACGUAUGCAUGCAUUCAAAUUUAAUCAAAAUUGAGACGGACGGAAGGAGUAGGUU